AGCUGCCGGGAUUGCUGACACAAGAUUUAUCAGAAGUUCUUGCAAAUCCACAACUUAUCCAGCGCUAUGCGUGCAGUCUCUCUCAGCUUAUGCCCCAUCAAUUCAACAAAGCCCCCGGCAACUGGCUGUCACAGCCUUGUCCGUGAGCCUCUCCAGGGCCCAAUCCGCAAAGUCAUUCGUGACCAAGCUGAGGAAGUUCAGGAACCUGAAGCACAGAGAGUAUGGGGCAAUUGCCGACUGCUUAGAUGAGAUGGGUGACACUGUGGACCGGCUCAGCAAGUCGGUUCAGGAGCUGAACCACAUGGGUCGGGCCAAGGGUCAGGACUUUCUGUGGCACAUGAGCAACGUUGAGACAUGGGUUAGUGCUGCUUUGACUGAUGAGAACACUUGUACUGAUGGGUUCGGUGGCAAGGCCUUGGAGGGUAAGGUUAAGUCCUCUGUUAGGGCUCAGGUUGUUAAUGUUGCUCAGGUCACUAGCAAUGCCCUUUCACUGAUCAAUAAGUUUGCUGGGAAACACUGAGCCGUAGUUAACUAUAUGGCUGUGUGAAUGUUUUGCGAGAGUUUGUGUCUUUUUUAUCUUUGGUUUAGUUUUAAUGUACAAAUUAAUCAUCAGUUCUGAGUGAGUGUUGAUUUUGAGCAUA
rnacentral:lncRNA from 1 species